rnacentral:rRNA from 1 species
GAUGAACGCUGGCGGCGUGCCUAAUACAUGCAAGUCGAGCGAACAGACGAGGAGCUUGCUCCACUGACGUUAGCGGCGGACGGGUGAGUAACACGUGGAUAACCUACCUAUAAGACUGGGAUAACUUCGGGAAACCGGAGCUAAUACCGGAUAAUAUAUUUAACCGCAUGGUUCAAUAGUGAAAGACGGUUUUGCUGUCACUUAUAGAUGGAUCCGCGCCGCAUUAGCUAGUUGGUAAGGUAACGGCUUACCAAGGCGACGAUGCGUAGCCGACCUGAGAGGGUGAACGGCCACACUGGAACUGAGACACGGUCCAGACUCCUACGGGAGGCAGCAGUAGGGAAUCUUCCGCAAUGGGCGAAAGCCUGACGGAGCAACGCCGCGUGAGUGAUGAAGGUCUUCGGAUCGUAAAACUCUGUUAUUAGGGAAGAACAAAUGUGUAAGUAACUAUGCACGUCUUGACGGUACCUAAUCAGAAAGCCACGGCUAACUACGUG